rnacentral:rRNA from 1 species
ACGAACGCUGGCGGCGUGCUUAACACAUGCAAGUCGCACGGAAAGGCCCUGCUUUUGUGGGGUGCUCGAGUGGCGAACGGGUGAGUAACACGUGAGUAACCUGCCCUUGACUUUGGGAUAACUUCAGGAAACUGGGGCUAAUACCGGAUAGGAGCUCCUGCUGCAUGGUGGGGGUUGGAAAGUUUCGGCGGUUGGGGAUGGACUCGCGGCUUAUCAGCUUGUUGGUGGGGUAGUGGCUUACCAAGGCUUUGACGGGUAGCCGGCCUGAGAGGGUGACCGGCCACAUUGGGACUGAGAUACGGCCCAGACUCCUACGGGAGGCAGCAGUGGGGAAUAUUGCACAAUGGGCGGAAGCCUGAUGCAGCAACGCCGCGUGCUGGAUGACGGCCUUCGGGUUGUAAACCGCUUUCGCCUGUGACGAAGCGUGAGUGACGGUAAUGGGUAAAGAAGCACCGGCUAACUACGUG